AAUUAAUUCAUUUUCUUUGUCUUCUUCUUCGUUGUUUACUUCAAUCUCUCUGUUCAUCCUCCAUCUUCUACUUCAGUUUGGUUUUUUUUUUUCAUCUUAUUCAUCCCAAUCGAAGAAACCACAUAAGGAUGGGAUCUCGUCGUUCCCAAACUCCUCCAUUUUGCACUCUGUAUAUCAAUCAUCAUCGUCUCCACCAAACCCUAAACCACGAUCUCUCCUUGAACGACGAUUACGUCUCAUAAUCAUCUCCGCAAGACCUCGCAAACCCCUCAAUUUCACUCCUUCGUGCGUCUCCUCAGAUCCCAACGCCUCUGAUUCGAUAAAGAGAGACGAAUGCACCAGUAGCCAUGGCUGAACAGGCUGAGACAGCUUUUCUUAAGCAACCCAAGGUCGUCUUAAGCUAGAAGAUAUCUGGGAAAGGAAAGAAACAUGUUAGAGGUGGAAACCGUUUCUGGAAGAACAUUGGUUUGGGUUUCCAGACUCCCCGUGACGCCAUUGAAGGUUUGAUGUAGAUUUACCUCUGUUCGUUUCUCUCCGCUCUUCUAUAUUUCAUUCAUGUGCAUGCACAAUUGUGUUUGUGUGACUAGGUCGUCAAUGAGGUAUUUCAGAAUAGGCGUAAAAUUCUCUACUUUCAGUUUUGAUGAGUAAGACUGAGACUCCAGGAACUGAUGUUCAAAGAAGAGGUCACAGUUAAGCUUGUGAGUGAUUCGAUAGAUAAAGACUCCAACUUUUCUUUUUUGUUCAACUGCAUUGCUUCCUGCAACUUUUGCGUCCAGUACAGAUGAGCUUAAAGCAGUUGGAGUUGAUGAAGUGGUUCUGGCCAUCAAUUACCAACCAGAAGUGAUGCUUAACUUUUUGAAAGACUUUGAAGCAAAGCUUGAAAUCAAAAUCACUUGCUCACAAGAGACUGAGCGUAUGGGUACGAUUGAGUCCAGCUUGGGAAAUAUUAAGGAAGUUAUUAGUCUUUAUAUAUGUUGGUAUAUUUGUUAACUUAUGAAUUAUUUUGGCCUUAUGUAUAUUUUGGAUGGUAGUUAGUGAAUGUAGUGGUUGCCUUGGAGAUGCAGGGGAAGUCCGAUUGCCAUUGAUAUUAUUAUGGCAUUUGUAGUUUUUAUAUGUUGGAGCACUUCUGGUUUCUAAUGAGUAAUGAGCAAGAUUAUGUU